UAGGAUUUGAUUUAAAGUUAGGAUUUGGUUAGGAUUUUUUUAGGAUUGGAUUUAGGAUUAGGAUUUGGUUAGGGUUUGAUUUAAGAUUUAGUAUUUGGUUUAGGAUUUAGGAUUUGAUUAGGAUUUGAUUUAGGAUUUAAGGUUUUAUUAGGGAUUAAUUUAGAAUUUAAGAUUUUUGUGAGUCAUCAAAUUGACUCACUUGUUGUUUUAGAAUAAAAAUAUUUAUUUAGAAUGCUUUAAAUCACAAUAUAUAAUGAGUAGUAUGGAAAUCCUUUGAAAAAUAGAAAAUUAGAAUGUUAGUGGUGGAAAUGGAGUCUUAGUAAGUCUUGGAGGUAAUUAUCUUUGUUGUUUUGUAUUUUUAUUCAUUCUUAAGUAUUAAGGAU
rnacentral:lncRNA from 1 species